GGCUGCCUACGGGGGGCAGCAGUGAGGAAUAUUGGUCAAUGGGCGGGAGCCUGAACCAGCCACGUCGCGUGAAGGAAGAAGGUACUUAGGAUUGUAAACCUCUUUUGUCGGGGAGCAAGGCCCGCCACGUGUGGCGGGAAGGAGAGUACCCGGAGAAAAAGCAUCGGCUAACUCCGUGCCAGCAGCCGCGGUAAUACGGAGGAUGCGAGCGUUAUCCGGAUUUAUUGGGUUUAAAGGGUGCGUAGGCGGAAGGUUAAGUCAGCGGUCAAAUGUCGG
rnacentral:rRNA from 1 species